rnacentral:rRNA from 1 species
CCUACGGGAGGCUGCAGUGGGGAAUAUUGGACAAUGGGCGGAAGCCUGAUCCAGCCAUGCCGCGUGUGUGAAGAAGGCCUUCGGGUUGUAAAGCACUUUCAGUGGGGAAGAAAGCCUUGGGGCUAAUACCCUCGAGGAAGGACAUCACCCACAGAAGAAGCACCGGCUAACUCCGUGCCAGCAGCCGCGGUAAUACGGAGGGUGCGAGCGUUAAUCGGAAUUACUGGGCGUAAAGCGCGCGUAGGCGGUCUGAUAAGCCGGUUGUGAAAGCCCCGGGCUCAACCUGGGAACGGCAUCCGGAACUGUCAGGCUAGAGUGCAGGAGAGGAAGGUAGAAUUCCCGGUGUAGCGGUGAAAUGCGUAGAGAUCGGGAGGAAUACCAGUGGCGAAGGCGGCCUUCUGGACUGACACUGACGCUGAGGUGCGAAAGCGUGGGUAGCAAACAGGAUUAGAUACCCCUGUAGUC